rnacentral:rRNA from 1 species
CCUACGGGAGGCUGCAGUGAGGAAUAUUGGUCAAUGUGCGCGAGCCUGAACCAGCCAAGUAGCGUGAAGGAUGACUGCCCUACGGGUUGUCAACUUCUUUUAUAAAGGAAUAAAGUGAGGCACGUGUGCCUGUUUGUAUGUACUUUAUGAAUAAGGAUCGGCUACCUCCGUGCCAGCAGCCGCGGUCAUACGGAGGAUCCGAGCGGUAUCCGGAUUUAUUGGGUUUAAAGGGAGCGUAGACGGGUUGUUAAGUCAGUUGUGAAAGUUUGCGGCUCAACCGUAAAAGUGCAAUUGAUACUGGCAGCCUUGAGUACAGUUGAGGUAGGCGGAAUUCGUGGUGUAGCGGUGAAAUGCUUAGAUAUCACGAAGAACUCCGAUUGCGAAGGCAGCUUACUAGACUGCCACUGACAUUGAGGCUCGAAAGUGUGGGUAUCAAACAGGAUUAGAUACCCUUGUAGUC